GUUCCUGUAGCGCAAUGGAGAGCACGUUGGAUUUCUAAUCCAAAUGUUGUGGAUACAAGUUCCAUCAGGGAUG